rnacentral:lncRNA from 1 species
CUGGGAAGUAAUAUAUAUACAUAGAGCUAGAUCUGUAGAUCUAUUACUUUCUAGAUCUAUUACUUAGGGUGGCCAUCCUUGCAGUGGUCGUAUGCACAACAGAAGGCUGUGUGUUGAGCUGAGCGCCCAGCCUGGCUGCCCUCUCUCACCACUCUGUGUUGUGUUCAAAGCAAAAAGCGAGCACAAAACUCAGCAGCUUUCCUUCUUCACACGUUCAUUAGUGGGAGUGGUAAAGGUUAGAAGCAAACUGGCUGUACGUUGUCCAUAGCAAAGCACGAACUGAGGGCAGCAGAAGUCGCUUUGAAUCCUCCUGUUCUGGUGGCAGCUUCCCUGCAGAAAGGCGUUUGAAUUUAUUAAGUCGGUGCCGGGCUUUGCAUUCAGCCCUUCCAGUCGUCCGCCCCGCGUUUCACAUCACAGUUUGGUGCACUGUGUCUGAGGAGUGCCGUCAGUGUGUCCUCCGUUGCAGUCCCACACCAGCAGCAAUGGAGGAAUCGGCAGAUGCCUUAAAGGCCGGCUUGGUUGAAGUCAUUCCCGGGGCUCAGACUUUACAACAGGACUCAAGGUUUCCACUGUCUGCUUCCAUCCCACUGAGAACUCAGAUUUUCCAGCUCAGCUCUACGCCCUGCACUGUCAGAGCAGUGAUGGGAUGUGUGCCACGGCCGGCUGCCCCGGGG